AUUGAACGCUGGCGGCAGGCCUAACACAUGCAAGUCGAACGGCAGCACAGAAGAGCUUGCUCUUUGGGUGGCGAGUGGCGGACGGGUGAGUAAUGUCUGGGAAACUGCCCGAUGGAGGGGGAUAACUACUGGAAACGGUAGCUAAUACCGCAUAACGUCGCAAGACCAAAGUGGGGGACCUUCGGGCCUCACACCAUCGGAUGUGCCCAGAUGGGAUUAGCUAGUAGGUGGGGUAAUGGCUCACCUAGGCGACGAUCCCUAGCUGGUCUGAGAGGAUGACCAGCCACACUGGAACGGCGACACGGUCCAGACGCCUACGGGAGGCAGCAGUGGGGAAUAUUGCACAAUGGGCGCAAGCCUGAUGCAGCCCUGCCGCGUGUAUGAAGAAGGCCUUCGGGUUGUAAAGUACUUUCAGCGGGGAGGAAGGCGGUGAGGUUAAUAACCUUGCCGAUUGACGUUACCCGCAGAAGAAGCACCGGCUAACUCCGUGCCAGCAGCCGCCGUAA
rnacentral:rRNA from 1 species